AGUGAACGCUGGCGGUAGGCCUAACACAUGCAAGUCGAACGGCAGCACAGUAAGAGCUUGCUCUUACGGGUGGCGAGUGGCGGACGGGUGAGGAAUACAUCGGAAUCUACUUUUUCGUGGGGGAUAACGUAGGGAAACUUACGCUAAUACCGCAUACGAUCUACGGGUGAAAGCAGGGGAUCUUCGGACCUUGCGCGAUUGAAUGAGCCGAUGUCGGAUUAGCUAGUUGGCGGGGUAAAGGCCCACCAAGGCGACGAUCCGUAGCUGGUCUGAGAGGAUGAUCAGCCACACUGGAACUGAGACACGGUCCAGACCCCUACGGGAGGCAGCAGUGGGGAAUAUUGGACAAUGGGCGCAAGCCUGAUCCAGCCAUACCGCGUGGGUGAAGAAGGCCUUCGGGUUGUAAAGCCCUUUUGUUGGGAAAGAAAAGCAGCAGGUUAAUACCCCGCUGUUCUGACGGUACCCAAAGAAUAAGCACCGGCUAACUUCGUG
rnacentral:rRNA from 1 species